rnacentral:rRNA from 1 species
CGGAUUGCAUGGGGGGAACCCUGACCGCCUGCCGCGUGUGUGAAGAAGGCCUUUUGGUUGUAAAGCACUUUAAGCAAGGAGGAGGCUACUUGGAUUAAUACUCUGAGAUAGUGGACGUUACUCGCAGAAUAAGCACCGGCUAACUCUGUGCCAGCAGCCGCGGUAAUACAGAGGGUGCAAGCGUUAAUCGGAUUUACUGGGCGUAAAGCGUGCGUAGGUGGCCAAUUAAGUCAAAUGUGAAAUCCCUGAGCUUAACUUAGGAAUUGCAUUCGAUACUGGUUGGCUAGAGUAUGGGAGAGGAUGGUAGAAUUCCAGGUGUAGCGGUGAAAUGCGUAGAGAUCUGGAGGAAUACCGAUGGCGAAGGCAGCCAUCUGGCCUAAUACUGACACUGAGGUACGAAAGCAUGGGG